CCCCCCGGCCCCAACAGAAGCCCUGAUUCACAUAUUUAGAGAAGAAAUAAUCUCAAUCCUACACCAACUCUCCCAGAACAUGAAGGAGGAGGGAUACUUCCCAACUCAUUUUAAUUUAUAUUUGACUUACCCUGAUGCUAAAGCCAGUCUAAGACAUUACAAUCAAUGAACUGGCUCAUCUGAUCUCGUGCCCCUCCUCCCCAACCCAGUAACUGACUGGGCAUUGCAUUCUGGUGGAACAACUGAUGCCACCCAGACUUGUGACCCCCACCCAGGAACUGACAGAGGCACAGAGACAGUUUUGAUAACCCUGUGGUUUCAUCCCUGACCAAACCAAUCAGUAUUUCCCAUUCCCUAGCUCCCUGCCUGCCAAACUAUCCUUAAAACCCUAGCCUCCGCAUUCUCUGGGAGGCAGAUUUGAGAAUUGUCUCAUCUUCUCGCUUG
rnacentral:lncRNA from 1 species